rnacentral:rRNA from 1 species
GAUGAACGCUGGCGGCGUGCCUAAUACAUGCAAGUCGAACGCAUUGAGAGAAGUGCUUGCACUUUUCAAUUUGAGUGGCGAACGGGUGAGUAACACGUGGGCAACCUACCUGAUAGCGGGGGAUAAGGAGUGGAAACAUUCGCUAAUACCGCAUAACAAUAGAGAAGGCAUCUUCUUUAUUUAAAAGGCGCUUUCAAGCGUCACUAUAAGAUGGGCCGGCGGUGCAUUAGUUAGUUGGUGGGGUGAAGGCCUACCAAGACGAUGAUGCAUAGCCGAGUCGAGAGACUGAUCGGCCACAUUGGGACUGAGACACGGCCCAAACUCCUACGGGAGGCUGCAGUAGGGAAUCUUCCACAAUGGACGAAAGUCUGAUGGAGCAACGCCGCGUGUGUGAUGAAGGCUUUCGGGUCGUAAAGCACUGUUGUAUGGGAAGAAAUGCUAGGCUAGGAAAUGAGCUUAGUUUGACGGUACCAUACCAGAAAGGGACGGCUAAAUACGUGCCAGCCGCCGCCGUAA